rnacentral:lncRNA from 1 species
AGCACUGGUUUGCUGGGGAACUAUGAACUGGGCCUGGCAGCUUGUGUUAGGCUGUUUUUGCAUUGCUAUAAAGAAAUACUUGAGACUGGGUGGUUUAUAGUAAAAGAAGUUUAACUGGCUCAUGUUUCUGCAGGCUAUACAGGAAGGAUUGUGCUGGCAUCAGGACUCAGCUUCUGGGGAGGCCUCAGGGAGAUUUUAUUCUCAGCAGAAGGCAAAGCAAGGAGCUUGCACGUCACACAGCAAACACAGGAGCAAGAGAGAGUAGGGGAGGUGCCACGCACUUUAGACAACCUGACCCAACACCUCCCACCAGGCCCCUCCUCCAACACUGGGGAUUACAUUUCAACAUGAGAUUUGGCAGGUACACAGAUCCAAACCAUAUCACAGCUGGUUUUCACUUUUCAGGCUUCCGAACAGAAAAGUCUUAUAUAACCGAUCUCUUUUCAAUGGUUAGUUGCUUGUCCCAAGGGUGAAGACUCUUAUAAGCAUUGUGUGUGUGUGUGUGUGUGUGUGUGUGUGUGUGUGUGGUGUAGGAGCAGGGGAGAGAGAGGGAGAAAAAGAGGGAGAGACAGCUUCCUUCUCCUGAAGGACUUUCUCAAGAUUAACAGCAUAUUCUGUGGCCUGAGCUUUCUGAACCUGGCAGGAGCUGACUCUUAUGGGAACAGAACUCUGCCUGUCAUAGUCUCAGGUUGGGCCACUGACUUAGCUCAUAAUCUUGACUGACUACCUUAGAUAUAGAGGCUAUUAGCAAACCAUUGUAGAGGAAAAUGUUCCUUUAUAUUAUGCCUGUGAACCUCCAUGCACUGGGAUGAGAGGUAACAUAGGGGAAGAAAUAUUAGAAUCCGUGGAGCUAGAAUAGAAUGCUUUAUUUACUGGAUUACCUUGGUAAAGUCACCUCACCUCUCUGUGCCUUAUUUCCUACAAGCAUAAAAGCUAGCCAGAAAUAUUCACCUCACAGAGGUAUUAUGAAGAUUCUAUGAGAUCAUGGACACAGAAGUGCCUGACACCUGGUUAUGCUGGAUCAGAGAGAAAAGAAUGAAGAAAUUGGAGCUAAGGAGAUGUGGAUUUAAAUCUUGACUCCACGACUUAUAACGACAACUACCAUGAAUUCAGUAAUUUCUAUGUACCAGGCUCUGUGCAUUACCUUUUUUUUUUUUUUUUUCAGACGGAGUUUCGCUCUUUCGCCCAGGCUGGAGUGCAGUGGCAUGAUCUUGGCUCACUGCAACCUCCGCCUUCCAGUUUCAAGCAAUUCCUCUACCUCAGCCUCCCAAGCAGUUAGGACUAUAGGCACCCGCCAUCACGCCCAGCUAAUUUUUGUAUUUUUAGUAGAGACGGGGUUUCACCAUGUUGGCUAGGCUGGUCUCGAACUCCUGACCUCGUGAUCUGCCCGCCUUGGCCUCCCAAAGUGCUGGGAUUACAGGCGUGAGCCACUGUGCCCGGCCCUCUGUGCAUUAUCUUUAAAAUCCUUGCAACGAGAUAAAUCAGCGGGCCGGGCUGGCGGGUCGGUGAGCGCGGCCCGGGCCGGACAUGGCGGCGCUCUACGCCUGCACCAAGUGCCACCAGCGUUUCCCCUUCCAGGUGCUGUCUCAGGGGCAGCAGCUGUGCAAGGAAUGUCGGAUUGCACACCCUGUUGUGAAGUGCACCUACUGCAGGACUGAGUACCAGCAGGAGAGUAAAACCAAUACAAUAUGCAAGAAAUGUGCUCAGAACGUGCAGUUGUAUGGAACGAGAAAUUAAGGUGGACUGUGUUAAAAACACAUUUAAUAGGGACACAGUUAAA